ACCGUCCAGGGGCUCAGCGCCCAGGGGUCACCAUCCAGGGGUCACCGUCCAGGGGUCACCGUCCAGGGGCUCAGCGCCCAGGGGCUCACCGUCCAGGGGUCACCGUCCAGGGGCUCAGCGCCCAGGGGCUCACCGCCCAGGGGCUCACCGUCCAGGGGUCACCGUCCAGGGGCUCAGCGCCCAGGGGUCACCGUCCAGGGGUCACCGUCCAGGGGUCGCCGUCCAGGGGCUCAGCGCCCAGGGGCUCAGCGCCCAGGGGUCACCGUCCAGGGGCUCAGCGCCCAGGGGCUCACCGUCCAGGGACUCACCGAUCUUGACGCGGAUGUUGUUGGGGUUCGCACGGCGUCCUCCGGGGUUGGACAGCAGGAUGUUCUGCGGCUUCAGGUCACGGUGAAUGAUGCCCUUGCUGUGCAGCAGGCGCAUAGCACCCGCGAUCUGCUGCAGGAAGAGCCUGAUGGUGUCCUCGCUCAGGGUCCGCAUGGCUACAGGAAAGGCAGGCUCAGGGGCGCCUGUCACAGCCCGACAGGUGGUGUGGCAGCUCGGGGGAUGGCAGCGCCCUCUUGGGGACCCGCUUCCUCUCCGGCAGCCCCGAAGGUUCAGUGGCAAGGGGGGAGGGGGGCACGACCCAGCACCCCCAGCAGAGGGAGGCAGCCUCAGAGCAGAGAAAGCCACCCAGGCUCCUUCCCGAGUCAGGUACGGGAAUGCUCACCGGGCCGGGGCCCUGCGGUGGGUGCUGGAAUGCAGGCCACAGGAGCAGCAAGCCCACCACAGCCCCCAGUCAUCAAGCACGGGUCGGAGGUGCUCUGCUGCCACAGCCCGAGGACCAGGACAGAUGGUGACACCCGCCUUCGGCUGUGCAGGCCAGAGUCUCCCCAACCCUGCCUGCCCCCACUUCCCGACACCCCACGGGUCCUGCAGCACUGCCUGCCACCCCAUUUGCCGUGUUCCUAUUUCCAGGUACAGGGUGCCCUCUCGGCCGCCACACAGCCACCCAAGUGCCUACCCUCACUACAACUCUGCUUCCUCACCCCUGACGCAGCCCACAGCCAUCCUGGAGCACGUGGGACCUGCACUAAGUCCUGGAGUGGGCAGGUGGCAGGCAGCAUCCACCGUGGCAGAGUCCCUCCCAUCUACCUCGGGGCACCAAGAGACAGGCCCCAUGCCCCCGGCCAGCAAGAGCCACUUCAGCAACCCCUCCUGGCUAGCGCGCUGCCCACUGAGGUGUCCACUCACUGUGACAGAGAGGCCAUGAGGGAUGCAGCAAGGGUCAUCUUGGGUGCCUCAACACAUCACCCACCUCCUGGGACUUGGG
rnacentral:lncRNA from 1 species